rnacentral:tRNA from 1 species
GGGGUUGUGGCUCAACUGUAGAGCACUUGCCUAGCAUGUGUGAGGCACUGAGUUCAAUUCUCAGCACCG